rnacentral:rRNA from 1 species
GAUGAACGCUAGCGGCAGGCUUAAUACAUGCAAGUCGUGGGGCAGCGCAGUGUAGCAAUACAUGGGCGGCGACCGGCAAACGGGUGCGGAACACGUACACAACCUUCCUACAAGUGGGGAAUAGCCCAGAGAAAUUUGGAUUAAUACCCCCGUAACAUAUAAAGAUGGCAUCAUUUUUAUAUUAUAGCUACGGCGCUUGUUGAUGGGUGUGCGGCUGAUUAGGUAGUUGGCGGGGUAAUGGCCCACCAAGCCUGCGAUCAGUAGCUGAUGUGAGAGCAUGAUCAGCCACACGGGCACUGAGACACGGGCCCCG